rnacentral:lncRNA from 1 species
AUUUCCGUAUUUUUCGCGCUAAGGCACGGCGGACUUGUAGGCAAGCCCGACGAACAUCCUGGAAAAAAUUUGUCUCGGGGAUAACAUCUCGCACUCCGAUGACAAAAGUUUGGAAUAUGGUACAAAAAAUAAAAGGUAAAAAUUCUAAAGCCACUGUAAAACAUUUGAAAGACGGCAAUGAUUUAUUAACAUCUGAAAAGGAUAUUGCCAACAAGCUUGGUGAAACUUUUGCGAAAUCUUCUUCUUGUAACAACUACAGGGAAGAUUUUUAAAAAGUUAAUAAACAAAAAGAGAAAAUUAAAUUAAACUUUAAAUCAAAAAAUGGUGAAAAUUAUAAUAAACUAUUUUCUCUUGAAGAACUUAAAACAUCUCUGUCAAAAGCCCAUGAUACAGCUUGUGGGCCUGAUAAUAUUCACUACCAACUCUUAAAACACUUGCCAGAUUCCUCGCUGGAAGCUCUCUUGCAGCUCAUGAAUAACAUCUGGGAAUCUGGUGAUUUACCAUCAAUCUGGAAGCUUGCAACCGUCGUGCCUAUUCCAAAACCAAGUAAAGAUCACACGGAUCCUAUUAAUUAUCGACCAA